rfam:Gossypium raimondii chromosome 1, whole genome shotgun sequence.
AACCCAUGAUGAGGGCACCUUCUUAAUAGAUCCUUGUAUCUCUCUCAUGCAUCAUAUAAUGUCUCUAAAUUGAUCUGGGUAAAGGAAGAAAUAUCAUUCCUUACCUU